AGCGAACGCUGGCGGCAGGCCUAACACAUGCAAGUCGAACGGACCCUUCGGGGUUAGUGGCGGACGGGUGAGUAACACGUGGGAACGUGCCUUUAGGGUCGGAAUAGCUCCUGGAAACGGGUGCUAAUACCGAAUGUGCCCUUCGGGGGAAAGAUUUAUCGCCAUUGGAGCGGCCCGCGUCUGAUUAGCUAGUUGGUGGGGUAAUGGCCCACCAAGGCGACGAUCAGUAGCUGGUCUGAGAGGAUGAUCAGCCACAUUGGGACUGAGACACGGCCCAGACUCCUACGGGAGGCAGCAGUGGGGAAUCUUGCGCAAUGGGCGAAAGCCUGACGCAGCCAUGCCGCGUGAAUGAUGAAGGUCUUAGGAUUGUAAAAUUCUUUCACCGGGGACGAUGAUGACGGUACCCGGAGAAGAAGCCCCGGCUAACUUCGUGCCAGCAGCCGCGGUAACAC
rnacentral:rRNA from 1 species